CCCAGCCGUAUGAUUACCCUUAAGAGUUAACUACCACACUCAAAAGAGCGCAACUAGGGUUGCCACACACGCCAAGUGGAGGAGAAGAGCCUGCUGUGUGCGCGCACCUGACAGUCACCGGCUUCUCUUUACGUUUCCAAUAGGAAGCGCACACUACGCUGUGGGAACAAAAACACCAGGUGUCUGCUAUGGCCAAGGCAGAUAAGGUCUUUCUCUCCAACAGGAUCCAGAGAUGAGCCACUGGUACUAACACCCAACGGCUGAUGUAAGGGGCUGUGUCCC
rnacentral:lncRNA from 1 species